AAAUCCAUCCUGUCAGGAGGCAGAAGUGUAACCCAAGGAGGGCUGGCCAGUGGCUGUGGCGGGACGGACCCGUGUGAGUGCGGGCUGGCACAGGGAGCGCUCCCGUACUGAGGGAGGAGACAGACCAGGGAUACGCACCGGGCACCACAGGACAGCUCUGCUACAGAGAACAGGCACAGCAAAAAAAGAAUGUCUCUACCCAGCCAAUGAGUUCCCACCUACUCUUGGUUAUCUGUAAGGUUGCUCUAGGGCAUACUCACCUGGUUCACUGUUCAAAUCUGGCCCUCCAGAGUACCUGUUUGGAUGAAAAAAAGAGGUACCACAGUUGCUCAAUAAACUCUGUCAAAACUACCCUGGCUGAACCUCACCACAAAUAGCAAGGAGGUAAGACAAGCCAAGUCAUUGCUCCAUACCCCCAUGGUGCAGAACAUGAGCAGCAGCAACAGACCCUCUGACAGAGUCAGACUGGGAACUGUGGCAGAAAACACUCUCAUCACACUUUUGAAGUCAUCUGCACAGAUACAGAAUCCAUUUAAUAAAGUGUGAGUGAUAAAGCAGGUGGAACAAGUAUGUGACUGAAAAAGUUUGGAUUGGGAGAAGAAAGAUGAAGAAUGCUGAGUGAAUGACCUUCAAAGGGGAUCCAUAUGGGAAGCGGUAGACAGGUGCACUAAGUGGAAGAGUUUCAUGGAAAUGCAGGUAAUAGGCAGACGCAAAGUAAAGUCUGGAGCAGAAGGAAGAGCAUGUGUGUUUGAGAAUCAGACAGGUGAACACAGUAAAGUCAACAGAGACUUUGGGGAGAGAUGCUGAAAAUGGUGAGAUGGAGGGAGUGUUUCAGUGAAGAACAUACAGGCAUGAGUGUAUAUGACAAAUGUUUGCUAAGCUCAUGCAUGAUGGUAACAAGUAAAUGGACAUUGGGCAAGAAUUUGGAUGUUGUCCUUAAUUUCCUCAGCCAUUAAUACGUUAUUAUGUUCUCUAUUUUAUUUUCCAGCCCUUGAAAAUUGCCACUUCAGAAAAGAUCAUGGCUCAGAUAAACCUGAAUUCAGAACCUUAAUAAGGCUGGAUAAUUUGGUUGAAUCUCUAGAAGAAAUUAUAAGGCUCUCAAGCAGCUUGCAACCCUUUACAAAGGAGGCAGCUUUGAAGUGCCCAACCCCAAAAGGCACUUAAUUUCCUUCAGAAUUUAAGAAUGAAUUAUGGGUUUUACUCUAAAUUGAAAAAUGAAGUAUUUCUUCCAUGGCAAAGGAGAUCAAGAUCAUCCUAGCCAAUCCUGGUGGUAAUUUUACCUCUAGGGAAGAAUCUCAUUCCAGGAUAUAUAAAAACCAAUAUCUUAAGGCUUAAGGACCCUUAUCAUUACGCCAGUUUAAAAUG